CCGCCUCACCCCUCCUCCCAUCUGACAGACGCCAAACUCUCUCUCAUCGCUACAGAACGUCCUCACCAGGUCAGCCCGUCUUACUGCGGGCUUCACACGCUGCAUCGGGGGAAGCUACUCCAGCUGCUCAGUUCAGAUUCAGGGUGUGAAGCUGGGCGAUGCGGGCCAGUAUCACUUCAGGUUUGAGACAAACCAACCGCUGGGGAGAUGGACCUCACCUGGGGUCUUGUGGUUUUUUCUUUUGUGGUUCACUAUCCAUCCACCAGAGAGCGCCAGAGGCUGCUCCUCCUGGCAGGGCGAGCCGGUCUCCUAGCACCUGUUUCUCAUCUUCUCAUCAUCCCUGCAGCUCAAGAGGAGCUGACUGCCAGUUCUCUGACGCCUGAGUGUUUGCCAGUAAUGGUGAAUUCAUCAAGAUGCCCAAGUUUCCUCCAUGAGAAGUUUUUUUUUUCCUCUGGUUUUCUGGAACCUACAUCCUUGUGAUGCCAUGGAAGUUACCCACUGGUUGUCCGAGCUCCUUCCCUGUUCCUUCAGUUAGACCAAGCCGUUUUCUGGAAACCCUGAUGGGCAGUCGGACCGCUCCUCUGUCUCCAGCCACCAGAAUUUACCUGUCCGCCCUCCAUCGCAGCCUCCUCCGCUCCUUCCAGAUCAGCUCAUCCGAGCCUACUUCAAAGAAGACCCCUCUGUCAGAUCUGAACCCAACCCACAAUGAUCCCCUCCCGGGCCAAAACCGCCAGCUCCACAAUGUGCCGCCUUCUCCGAGAGCCGUUCCAUCAUAUCUGAAUCUUCAAUAAAGUAUCUUUACUGAUUAUCUGUUCUGCAUGUGGGCAAAAAGACUAGAAUCCAACCUGACAGCAUUUCUCUGGAUGUAGCAGCUCGACUCUCCUGUCAAAACAUCAUUGACUCUGCAAGGUUUCUGGUGCCUGGCUGGAGACGAGAUUCUGACGAUUCAAGAAUCAAAACAAAAUAUCAGAGUAAAUAGUUAGAAGGCAGAUUUGUUUUCUCUUCAUUAUUGUUUUCAUUAUUAAUGGUUCAUGACACAAAAUUCCUAAGUGCUGUAACUAUGAGUUCAAUAAAAUGGUCUUCUUUCAA